CGGAAGCGGAACAUCGUGCGCGGACGAUCGUUGAUGAAGGAGGACGAAGUGGUUGUUGUAAAUCUCGUGAAUGCACGUAGUCAGCAUUUCGAUGCCAGAGCUGACUGACGGGCGCACAUGGUUCAUUCGUAUGUUCUUCCUUUGAAAAAAUAAACUGAGUAUAACUGCAUGUCAAUUGCCCUGCUCCCUGUAACAGUUUCCUUUCUCUUUGCAGUGUUUUGAUGCCAGAGCUGACUGAUGGGUGCACAUGGUUCCUUCGUAUGUUCUUCCUUUGAAAAAAUAAACGGGUUUUUCAUGCCAGAGGUGACUGGCGCAUUUUCAUCACUAUGUACAUAGAAAAUAAAUCCCAAUGUGGCAAA